rnacentral:snRNA from 1 species
CGCUAAUGCAGCUCUUUUAGAAUUUUGUCUAGCAGGUUUUCUGACUUUGGCUGGAAAAUCUAU